rnacentral:lncRNA from 1 species
UCUAACUCUUCGAUUCGCUAUAGGUAUUCACCCAGAUGCCUCUCAAAUUUAGUAACUAUUUUCAGCAACACUGGAGACGUUUUCCUCGGGAGUCCACUGCAAAAAAAAAACUAGUGCCAUGGAGAUGAAUAUUGAUUGAUUGCUUGCACUAAGGACCAAUGCUGCCCUUGAAACUUGAGUUGGUCUUGGAGGAGGGGGUCUUGAAGGUGGUGGAGCACUGGUGGGUUGUGUAAAGAGAGGAAUAUCUGAUACAAUGAGCCACACAUCAUCAGAUGAAGACAAAUUCUCUUCAGAUCUAGGAGACAUCUCUCCCUGGGGAUUUGUUUCAUUAGGAGUAGCAUUCACAUGUGAAGGAGGAGAAGACGUCUGACUGAAAGAUUUAUGAGAAUCUGUGGAAAU